rnacentral:rRNA from 1 species
UACCGGGGGGGCAAGCGUUGUUCGGAAUUACUGGGCGUAAAGGGCUCGUAGGCGGCCCACUAAGUCACACGUGAAAUCCCCAGGCUUAACCUGGGAACUGCGUGUGAUACUGGAUGGCUUGAAUCCGGGAGAGGGAUGCAGAAUUCCAGGUGUAGCGGUGAAAUGCGUAGAUAUCUGGAGGAAUACCGGUGGCGAAGGCGGCAUCCUGGACCGGCAUUGACGCUGAUGAGCGAAAGCUAGGGGAGCAAACGGG